rnacentral:rRNA from 1 species
UACGUAGGGGGCAAGCGUUGUCCGGAUUUAUUGGGCGUAAAGAGCGUGUAGGCGGCUAGAUAGGUCCGUUGUGAAAACUCGAGGCUCAACCUCGAGACGUCGAUGGAAACCAUCUGGCUAGAGUCCGGAAGAGGAGAGUGGAAUUCCUGGUGUAGCGGUGAAAUGCGCAGAUAUCAGGAAGAACACCCGUGGCGAAGGCGGCUCUCUGGUACGUGACUGACGCUGAGACGCGAAGCCAGUGGGAGCAAAGGCAG